UGGGGAAUAUUGCGCAAUGGGCGAAAGCCUGACGCAGCAACGCCGCGUGGGUGAUGAAGGUCUUCGGAUCGUAAAGCCCUGUCAGUGGGAAAGAUGGCUUUGGCAGCUAAUAUCUGUCGAAGUUGACGGUACC
rnacentral:rRNA from 1 species